UACGGAGGGGCUAGCGUUGUUCGGAAUUACUGGGCGUAAAGCGCACGUAGGCGGCUUUGUAAGUUAGAGGUGAAAGCCCAGGGCUUAACCCUGGAAUUGCCUUUAAGACUGCAUCGCUAGAAUCGUGGAGAGGUGAGUGGAAUUCCGAGUGUAGAGGUGAAAUUCGUAGAUAUUCGGAAGAACACCAGUGGCGAAGGCGACUCACUGGACACGUAGUUGACGCUGAGGUGGACGAAAGCGUGGGAGCAACAGG
rnacentral:rRNA from 1 species